rnacentral:rRNA from 1 species
AUUGAACGCUGGCGGCAGGCCUAACACAUGCAAGUCGAACGAGUGGCGGACGGGUGAGUAAUAUCUGGGAAACUGCCUGAUGGAGGUGGAUAACUACUGGAAACGAUAGCUAAUACAGCAUACCAUCGGAUGUGCCCAGAUGGGAUUAGCUUGUAGGUGGGGUAAAUGCUCACCUAGGCGACGAGCCCUAGCUGGUCUGAGAGGAUGACCAGCCACACUGGAACGGAGACGAGGUCCAUACUCCUACGGGAGGCAGCAGUGGGGAAUAUUGCACAAUGGGCGCAAGCCUGAUGCAGCCAGGCCGCGUGUAUGAAGAAGGCCUUCGGGUUGUAAAGUACUUUCAGCGGGGAGGCGUUACCCGCAGAAGAAGCACCGGCUAACUCCGUGCCAGCAGCCGCGGUAAUAC